rnacentral:rRNA from 1 species
AUUGAACGCUGGCGGCAGGCCUAACACAUGCAAGUCGAGCGGAGCGGCGGACGGGUGAGUAAGGAAUAGGAAUCUGCCUGGUAGUGGGGGAUAAGAUACGGAAAGGGGCGCUAAUACAGCAUACUAUCAGAUGAGCCUAGUGCGGAUUAGCUAGUUGGUGGGGUAAAGGCCUACCAAGGCGACGAUCCGUAACUGGUCUGAGAGGAGGAUCAGUCACACUGGAACUGAGACACGGUCCAGACUCCUACGGGAGGCAGCAGUGGGGAAUAUUGGACAAUGGGCGAAAGCCUGAUCCAGCCAUGCCGCGUGUGUGAAGAAGGUCUUCGGAUUGUAAAGCACUUUAAGUUGGGAGGCGUUACCAACAGAAUAAGCACCGGCUAACUUCGUGCCAGCAGCCGCGGUAAUUC